UGGGGAAUAUUGCACAAUGGGCGGAAGCCUGAUGCAGCGACGCCGCGUGGGGGAUGAAGGCCUUCGGGUUGUAAACUCCUUUCGACAGGAACGAAGCGUAAGUGACGGUACCUGUAUAAGAAGCACCGGCUAACUACGUGCCAGCAGCCGCGGUAAUACGUAGGGUGCGAGCGUUGUCCGGAAUUACUGGGCGUAAAGAGCUCGUAGGUGGUUUGUCGCGUCGUCUGUGAAAUUCCGGGGCUUAACUCCGGGCGUGCAGGCGAUACGGGCUGACUUGAGUGCUGUAGGGGAGACUGGAAUUCCUGGUGUAGCGGUGAAAUGCGCAGAUAUCAGGAGGAACACCGAUGGCGAAGGCAGGUCUCUGGGCAGUAACUGACGCUGAGGAGCGAAAGCAUGGGUAGCGAACAGGAUUAGAUACCCUGGUAGUCCAUGCCGUAAACGGUGGGCGCUAGGUGUAGGGGGCUUCCACGUCUUCUGUGCCGUAGCUAACGCAUUAAGCGCCCCGCCUGGGGAGUACGGCCGCAAGGCUA
rnacentral:rRNA from 1 species